UAGGAGAUAGUAUAGUGGAAGUACAGAGGAUUUUGGAGCCUCAAGUGCCAGUUCAAAUCUGGUUUUUCUA
rnacentral:tRNA from 1 species